GUGGCUGUAGCUCAAUUGGUUAGAGCACCGGUCUGUGGCACCGGGGGUUGCGGGUUCAAUUCCCGUCAGCCACCCCU
rnacentral:tRNA from 1 species